GAAAUGCGAUACGUAGUGUGAAUUGCAGAAUUCCGUGAACCAUCGAAUCUUUGAACGCAUAUUGCGCUCGAGGCCUCGGCCGAGAGCAUGUCUGCCUCAGCGUCGGCCCACCCCUCGCCACCCUUUCCCCCUUUUGAUUUCAAAGGGGAGACUGGAAAGGCGGAGCUGGCCGUCUCGGCGCCCUUUAAAGGCUGCCGGGUCGGCUGAAGCAUAGAGGCUUGAGCACGGACCCCGUUUGAUGGGCACAGCUUGGUAGGUAGCUCACGCUGCAUGCCGCUGGCGCCCUAGGGGACCAUGCUGUAAAGCCUGCAGGAAAAGGGGGCCAUUCAAUUGGCCCCUGCUUUCACUUUCGACCUGAGUUUAGGCAAGGCUACCCGCUGAACUUAA
rnacentral:misc_RNA from 1 species